rnacentral:lncRNA from 1 species
GUUAUAGUAGCAGAUGAAUCAUACAAAGCUGGUGAAAACUGGUGUUUCAGGAAGACAAAUUUAGUAAAAAUGGGCACGCAGGGGGGAAAUUCUGUGGAACACCAUCCUAUAAUGCCAGUAAGGGGCAGAUUCUUAAAAGUGCCACAUCAGGUUGGGCCACUUUGCCUGGACUGAACUUCUUUGCUGAUUUCGUCACAUUUCAAUGGUUAUUUCAAUUGUCCCGUGCCUAUUUCCCUUCCCUAACUCCCGCAGUGUUAUGUACCUACUCUUGGAAGCUCUCUAAUUCGUUGCUUCUAUUAGAGCACAUACCACGGUACACAGUACUUUAA